rnacentral:rRNA from 1 species
ACAGGGAUUGCCCCAGUAACGGCGAGUGAAGCGGCAACAGCUCAAAUUUGAAAUCUGGUCCCUAGGGCCCGAGUUGUAAUUUGUAGAGGAUGCUUUUGGUGAGGUGCCGCCCGAGUUCCCUGGAACGGGACGCCACAGAGGGUGAGAGCCCCGUCUGGCUGGCCGCCGAGCCUCUGUAAAGCUCCUUCGACGAGUCGAGUAGUUUGGGAAUGCUGCUCAAAAUGGGAGGUAUAUGUCUUCUAAAGCUAAAUAUUGGCCAGAGACCGAUAGCGCACAAGUAGAGUGAUCGAAAGAUGAAAAGCACCUUGAAAAGAGGGUUAAAUAGUACGUGAAAUUGUUGAAAGGGAAGCGCUUGUGACCAGACUUGGGCGCGGCGGAUCAUCCGGGGUUCUCUCCGGUGCACUUCGCCGCGUCUAGGCCAGCAUCAGUUCGUCGCGGGGGAAAAAGGCUUCGGGAACGUGGCUCCUCCGGGAGUGUUAUAGCCCGUUGCAUAAUACCCUGCGGUGGACUGAGGACCGCGCAUCUGCAAGGAUGCUGGCGUAAUGGUCACCAGCGACCCGUCUUGAAACACGGACCAAGGAGUCGUCUUCGUAUGCGAGUGUUCGGGUGUCAAACCCCUACGCGUAAUGAAAGUGAACGCAGGUGAGAGCUUCGGCGCAUCAUCGACCGAUCCUGAUGUUCUCGGAUGGAUUUGAGUAAGAGCAUACGGGGCCGGACCCGAAAGAAGGUGAACUAUGCCUGUAUAGGGUGAAGCCAGAGGAAACUCUGGUGGAGGCUCGCAGCGGUUCUGACGUGCAAAUCGAUCGUCAAAUAUGGGCAUGGGGGCGAAAGACUAAUCGAACCUUCUAGUAGCUGG